rnacentral:sRNA from 1 species
UUCGUUUCCUCGCUGCACUAGAGUGUUG